rnacentral:rRNA from 1 species
UACGGAGGAUGCGAGCGUUAUCCGGAAUCAUUGGGUUUAAAGGGUGCGUAGGCUGGUAUUUAAGUCAGUGGUGAAAUUUUCGUGCUUAACAUGAGAGCUGCCAUUGAUACUGGAUACCUUGAGUGUAUUUGAUGUGGGCGGAAUGUGUUGUGUAGCGGUGAAAUGCAUAGAUAUGACACAGAACACCGAUAGCGAAGGCCAGCUCACAAAGUUACAACUGACGCUGAUGCACGAAAGCGUGGGGAUCAAACAGG